rnacentral:tRNA from 1 species
GCGCCCGUAGCUCAGCGGAUAGAGUGGCGGACUCCGGAUCCGCAGGUCGGGGGUUCAAAUCCCCCCGGGCGCG